AUACCACGCUUCCAGGAAAAGCCACUAAGCUUCAGUUUGAAUUGAACCGUACCGCAAACCGACACAGGUGGGCAGGAUGAGAAUUCUAAGGCGCUUGAGAGAACUCAGGAGAAGGAACUCGGCAAAUUGAUACCGUAACUUCGGGAGAAGGUAUGCCCUCUAAGGUUAAGGACUUGCUCCGUAAGCCCUGGAGGGUCGCAGAGAAUAGGUGGCUGCGACUGUUUAUUAAAAACACAGCACUCUGCUAACACGAAAGUGGACGUAUAGGGUGUGACGCCUGCCCGGUGCUGGAAGGUUAAUUGAAGAUGUGAGAGCAUCGGAUCGAAGCCCCAGUAAACGGCGGCCGUAACUAUAACGGUCCUAAGGUAGCGAAAUUCCUUGUCGGGUAAGUUCCGACCCGCACGAAUGGCGUAACGAUGGCCACACUGUCUCCUCCUGAGACUCAGCGAAGUUGAAGUGGUUGUGAAGAUGCAAUCUACCCGCUGCUAGACGGAAAGACCCCGUGAACCUUUACUGUAGCUUUGCAUUGGACUUUGAAGUCACUUGUGUAGGAUAGGUGGGAGGCUUUGAAGCAGAGACGCCAGUCUCUGUGGAGCCGUCCUUGAAAUACCACCCUGGUGUCUUUGAGGUUCUAACCCAGACUCGUCAUCCGGGUCGGGGACCGUGCAUGGUAGGCAGUUUGACUGGGGCGGUCUCCUCCCAAAGCGUAACGGAGGAGUUCGAAGGUUACCUAGGUCCGGUCGGAAAUCGGACUGAUAGUGCAAUGGCAAAAGGUAGCUUAACUGCGAGACCGACAAGUCGAGCAGGUGCGAAAGCAGGACAUAGUGAUCCGGUGGUUCUGUAUGGAAGGGCCAUCGCUCAACGGAUAAAAGGUACUCCGGGGAUAACAGGCUGAUUCCGCCCAAGAGUUCAUAUCGACGGCGGAGUUUGGCACCUCGAUGUCGGCUCAUCACAUCCUGGGGCUGUAGUCGGUCCCAAGGGUAUGGCUGUUCGCCAUUUAAAGUGGUACGUGAGCUGGGUUUAAAACGUCGUGAGACAGUUUGGUCCCUAUCUGCAGUGGGCGUUGGAAGUUUGACGGGGGCUGCUCCUAGUACGAGAGGACCGGAGUGGACGAACCUCUGGUGUACCGGUUGUAACGCCAGUUGCAUAGCCGGGUAGCUAAGUUCGGAAGAGAUAAGCGCUGAAAGCAUCUAAGCGCGAAACUCGCCUGAAGAUGAGACUUCCCUUGCGGUUUAACCGCACUAAAGAGUCGUUCGAGACCAGGACGUUGAUA
rnacentral:rRNA from 1 species